rnacentral:rRNA from 1 species
AUUGAACGCUGGCGGCAGGCCUAACACAUGCAAGUCGAGCGGUAGCACAGGAGAGCUUGCUCUCCGGGUGACGAGCGGCGGACGGGUGAGUAAUGUCUGGGAAACUGCCUGAUGGAGGGGAUAACUACUGGAAACGGUAGCUAAUACCGCAUAACGUCGCAAGACCAAAGAGGGGGACCUUCGGGCCUCUUGCCAUCAGAUGUGCCCAGAUGGGAUUAGCUAGUAGGUGGGGUAACGGCUCACCUAGGCGACGAUCCCUAGCUGGUCUGAGAGGAUGACCAGCCACACUGGAACUGAGACACGGUCCAGACUCCUACGGGAGGCAGCAGUGGGGAAUAUUGCACAAUGGGCGCAAGCCUGAUGCAGCCAUGCCGCGUGUAUGAAGAAGGCCUUCGGGUUGUAAAGUACUUUCAGCGGGGAGGAAGGCGAUAAGGUUAAUAACCUUGUCGAUUGACGUUACCCGCAGAAGAAGCACCGGCUAACUCCGUGCCAGCAGCCGCGGUAAUACGGAGGGUGCAAGCGUUAAUCGGAAUUACUGGGCGUAAAGCGCACGCAGGCGGUCUGUCAAGUCGGAUGUGAAAUCCCCAGGCUCAACCUGGGAACUGCAUUCGAAACUGGCAGGCUAGAGUCUUGUAGAGGGGGGUAGAAUUCCAGGUGUAGCGGUGAAAUGCGUAGAGAUCUGGAGGAAUACCGGUGGCGAAGGCGGCCCCCUGGACAAAGACUGACGCUCAGGUGCGAAAGCGUGGGGAGCAAACAGG